ACUGAACGCUGGCGGCAUGCCUUACACAUGCAAGUCGAACGGCAGCGGACCUUCGGGUGCCGGCGAGUGGCGAACGGGUGAGUAAUGCAUCGGAACGUACCUUUCAGUGGGGGAUAACGUAGCGAAAGUUACGCUAAUACCGCAUAUUCUGUGCGCAGGAAAGCAGGGGAUCGCAAGACCUUGCGCUGAUUGAGCGGCCGAUAUCAGAUUAGCUAGUUGGUGAGGUAAAGGCUCACCAAGGCGACGAUCUGUAGCGGGUCUGAGAGGAUGAUCCGCCACACUGGAACUGAGACACGGUCCAGACUCCUACGGGAGGCAGCAGUGGGGAAUUUUGGACAAUGGGGGCAACCCUGAUCCAGCCAUGCCGCGUGAGUGAAGAAGGCCUUCGGGUUGUAAAGCUCUUUCGGCCGGGAAGAAAUCGUAUCAGCUAAUACCUGGUGCGGAUGACGGUACCGGCAUAAGAAGCACCGGCUAACUACGUGCCAGCAGCCGCCGUAAUAC
rnacentral:rRNA from 1 species